rnacentral:rRNA from 1 species
GAUGAACGCUGGCGGCGUGCCUAAUACAUGCAAGUCGAGCGAACAGACGAGGAGCUUGCUCCUCUGACGUUAGCGGCGGACGGGUGAGUAACACGUGGAUAACCUACCUAUAAGACUGGGAUAACUUCGGGAAACCGGAGCUAAUACCGGAUAAUAUAUUGAACCGCAUGGUUCAAUAGUGAAAGACCGUUUUGCUGUCACUUAUAGAUGGAUCCGCGCCGCAUUAGCUAGUUGGUAAGGUAACGGCUUACCAAGGCAACGAUGCGUAGCCGACCUGAGAGGGUGAUCGGCCACACUGGAACUGAGACACGGUCCAGACUCCUACGGGAGGCAGCAGUAGGGAAUCUUCCGCAAUGGGCGAAAGCCUGACGGAGCAACGCCGCGUGAGUGAUGAAGGUCUUCGGAUCGUAAAACUCUGUUAUUAGGGAAGAACAAAUGUGUAAGUAACUAUGCACGUCUUGACGGUACCUAAUCAGAAAGCCACGGCUAACUACGUG